rnacentral:rRNA from 1 species
GGUCAUAUCACGUUGAAACACCGCUUUUUGUACGAUUACCGAAGUUAAGCAACGUCGAGCCUGGUCAGUACCCAGAUGGGUGAACGCUUGGAAAUAACAAGUGU